rnacentral:rRNA from 1 species
AUACCCUAUUAUUUUAAUUGUAAUAAAAUUACUUGAGUAUUAGUAGUUAUGGUCUUGAAACUUAAAAAAUUUGGCGGUAUUUUAGUCUAUUCAGAGGAACCUGUUAUGUAAUCGAUAAUCCACGAUGGACCUAACUUAAUUUUGUUUUUCAAUUUAUAUAUCGCUGUUAUAGAAAAUUUUAUAAGAAUAAUAAUUUUCAAUUAAUUUUAUAAAAUUAUAUAUCAAGUCAAGGUGUAGUUUAUGAUUAAGUAUUUUAUGGGUUACAAUAAAUUUAUUUAAGCGAAUUUAAAAUUGAAAUAAUUUUAAUGAAGAUGGAUUUGAUAGUAAAUUUUUAAAGAUAAAAAGGUUGAUUUUAGCUCUAAAAUAUGCACACAUCGCCCGUUCGCUCU